rnacentral:rRNA from 1 species
GAUGAACGCUAGCGGCAGGCCUAACACAUGCAAGUCGAGGGGUAGAGGUUGCUUGCAACCUUGAGACCGGCGCACGGGUGCGUAACGCGUAUGCAAUCUGCCUUGUACUGAGGGAUAGCCCAGAGAAAUUUGGAUUAAUACCUCAUAGUAUCUUUUCCCGGCAUCGGGAGAUUAUUAAAGUUCCAACGGUACAAGAUGAGCAUGCGUCCCAUUAGCUAGUUGGUAUGGUAACGGCAUACCAAGGCAAUGAUGGGUAGGGGUCCUGAGAGGGGGAUCCCCCACACGUGUACUGAGACACGGGCCAGACUCCUACGGGAGGCAGCAGUGAGGAGUAUUGGUCAAUGGGCGCAAGCCUGAACCAGCCAUGCCGCGUGCAGGAUGAAGCAUCUAUGGUGUGUAAACUGCUUUUAUACGGGAAGAAACACCGGUUCGUGAACCGGCUUGGCGGUACCGUAAGAAUAAGGAUCGGCUAACUCCGUGCCAGCAGCCGCCGUAACAC